rnacentral:rRNA from 1 species
GCUUAACGCGAAGAACCUUACCAGCCCUUGACAUGGCAGGACGGUUUCCAGAGAUGGAUUCCUUCACUUCGGUGACCUGCACACAGGUGCUGCAUGGCUGUCGUCAGCUCGUGUCGUGAGAUGUUGGGUUAAGUCCCGCAACGAGCGCAACCCUCGCCUUUAGUUGCCAUCAUUUAGUUGGGCACUCUAGAGGGACUGCCGGUGAUAAGCCGGAGGAAGGUGGGGAUGACGUCAAGUCUUCAUGGCCCUUACGGGCUGGGCUACACACGUGCUACAAUGGCGGUGACAGAGGGCAGCUAGUCCGCGAGGACAUGCUAAUCCCUAAAAGCCGUCUCAGUUCGGAUUGCACUCUGCAACUCGAGUGCAUGAAGUUGGAAUCGCUAGUAAUCGCAGAUCAGCACGCUGCGGUGAAUACGUUCCCGGGUCUUGUACACACCG